UACGGAGGGUGCGAGCGUUGUUCGGAAUUACUGGGCGUAAAGCGCGUGUAGGCGGAUUCGGAAGUCGGGUGUGAAAGCCCUGGGCUUAACCCAGGAAGUGCGCCCGAAACCACGAGUCUUGAGGUCCGGAGGGGAUCGGGGAAUUCCCAGUGUAGAGGUGAAAUUCGUAGAUAUUGGGAGGAACACCGGUGGCGAAGGCGCCGAUCUGGACGGAUACUGACGCUGAGGCGCGAAAGCGUGGGUAG
rnacentral:rRNA from 1 species